rnacentral:rRNA from 1 species
GACGAACGCUGGCGGCGUGCUUAACACAUGCAAGUCGAACGAUGAAGCUGGAGCUUGCUCCGGUGGAUUAGUGGCAAACGGGUGAGUAACACGUGAGCAAUCUGCCCUUGACUCUGGGAUAACUGCGGGAAACUGUAGCUAAUACCGGAUACUUUCCAUGGAAGGCAUCUUCUGGUGAAGAAAGAAUUUCGGUCAAGGAUGGACUCGCGGCCUAUCAGCGAGUUUGUGAGAUAACGGCUCACCAAGGCGACGACGGGUAGCCGGCCUGAGAGGGUGACCGGCCACACUGGGACUGAGACACGGGCCAGACUCCUACGGGAGGCAGCAGUGGGGAAUAUUGCACAAUGGCCGCAAGCCUGAUGCAGCAACGCCGCGUGAGGGAUGACGGCCUUCGGGUUGUAAACCUCUUUUAUUAGGGAAGAAGCGAAAGUGACGGUACCUGCAGAAAAAGCACCGGCUAACUACGUGCCAGCCGCCGCCGUAA